AUCAAUGUUGAGAGCUCCCAGACUAUAGCCCUCUCCAACUUGUAUAGAACUGUGCUGGUCCCUUUGGAGGGUCUGUCGUGCUGAUGGCACCAGAUAUAGACACGGAUUGUGAUGGAGGAGUCUGGCAUGUUAUCUGUACUGGUUGGCAAAAAUUGCAACGAGCAAUUCAUGGGUCAUUAAACCUAAGUGGAAGAAAGCUGUUUACACAUAUUUCUGACUGCUGGUUCUGACAACUUUGUCUUUGCAUAAAAUGAUACGAAGAAUGCAAAUAUCCAUCUGUCUCCAGUUGAAAUUCAGCUAACCUUCAAUGAAACAUUGGUUAGACUAUAUUCAGUAACAAGCCAUCCCAUUCUGACUGCCCCAAUGGGCUUGUGUGACCCUUACACUCAAUGGGCAGCACUCAUCAUUCCCAGCAUUUGCCUCGCCCUUCUCUCCACGUACAUUCCUCCACUCUUUUAAAGUGAAGCAAGGAGAAUCAGAUGGGAAACACCUGACUUUUCUGAGAACUUUUCUGAGAAUUCCUCAUCAUCUGUGAAGACAAAAAUAUUCAGAUGAUUUCAUUGACCCAGCAGCACAGGUUUAGUGAUGUCAGGAGAAAUAAACAAAAAUCAAAUAAAGGUAUUUUUCCCCCCACAUCUAAUAGCUUCUUG